GCUGGGGGGCAACAGGGACAGGACAGGGACAGGGACACGGCCAUCCAACAGGGGCAGGGACAGGGGCAUGUGGGGGGGCUCCAGGAGACAGGGACAUGGCCAGUCUGGGGGGGGUUCCCAGGGCACAGGACAAUGACAGGGGACAGCCCCAGACAGGGCAGGGACAAGGGACAGCCCCAGACAGGGACACUCCUGGACAGGGGACAGCCUGGGACAGGGCAGGGACAGGGGACAGCCCUGGACAGGGGAUAUCCCCAGGCGGUGACAGCUCCCGACAGGCUCCCAGCCCCUUCCCACACCUCCAGCGCGCACAUCCCGAAGGAGAAGAUGUCCACGGCCGUCCCGUCUGCCUUCUCUGGGGAGGAGAGGGACACCGGGCAGAGCUCAGUGCUGGAGUGCACCUGGGCACCCCUGGGACAGCCCCACAUGGGCACCCUCAACCCAUCCCCACUUGGGUACCCUUGGGACAUCCCAUCCCCAUGGGCAGACACUACUGCCCUCACCUGUUCUCCCCUGCCCUCACCUGUUCCCACCUGUGUUCCUUCCCUUCCCCUGCCGUCCUCCACCGUGCAGCCCCCGUGCCCAUUCCUGUUCCCAUUCCUUGUUCCCCAUGCAGCCCCCCAGUGCCCCAUUCCCCAUUCCCGUUCCCCAUUUCCCUUCCCUGUGCCUGUUCCUGUUUCCCGUUCCCAUUCCCUGUUUCCCCUUCCCUGUGCCUGUGCCCGUUCCCGCACCUGUUCCCCAUUCCCAUUCUCUGUUCCUGUUCCUGUGCUUCUGCCCUUUCCCAUUCCCAUUCCCCAUUCCCUUUCCCAUUCCCCAUUCCCGUGUCCCAUUUCCCUGUUCCCCGUUCCCAUUCCCAUUCCCCACUCACAGCCGUAUUCUGGAGGGAAGAAGUGCAGGUUCCACAGCUCCCAUUCCCAUUUCCCCUGUUCCCAUUCCCCAUUUCCAUUCCCAUUCCCCAUUCCCAUUCCCCAUUCCCCAUUCCCCAUUCCCAUUCCCAUUCCUCAUACCCAUUUUCCAUUUCCCCAUUCCCAUUCCCCUGUUCCCAUUCCCCACUCACAGCUGUAUUCCGGGGGGAAGAAGUGCAGGGUCUGCUGCUCCCAUUCCCCAUUCCCCUGUUCCCAUUCCCCAUUUCCCCAUUCCCAUCUCUACUCACGGCCGUACUCCGGAGGGAAGAAGUGCAGGUUCCACAGCUCCCAUUCCCCAUUUCCCCACCCCCAUUCCCAUUCCCCAUUCCCAUUCCCCACUGACGUCUAUAUUCUGGGGGGAAGAAGUGCAGGUUCCUCUGCUCCCAUUCCCCAUUCCCCUGUUCCCAUUCCCAUUCCCCAUUCCCAUUUUCACACUCACGGCCAUAUUCCAGGGGGAAGAAGUGCAGGUUCCGCUGCUCCCAUUCCCCAUUCCCAUUCCCCAUUUCCCUGUUCCCAUUUCCCUAUUCCCAUUCCCCAUUCCCACUCCCCACUCACGGCCAUAUUCCGGAGGGAAGAAGUGCAGGUUCCGCUGCUCCUCGCGCUCGAUCCUCAUGGGGCUGCGCAGAUCGUCCGGGAGCGCUGGGGAGAGAGAGGGGCACGGGCUGAGGGCCUGACAGUGCCCACCCUGAGAGUGCCCACCUGUGAGUGCCCACCCUGGGAGUGUCCACCUGAGUGUGCCAAUCCAGGACAGUGCCCACCUGAGAGCGCCCACCCUGGGAGUGCCCAUCUGUCAGUGUGCCCAUCUAUGGGGGUCUGUGAGUGCCCACCCAUGAGUGUGCCCACCCAUGGGAUCAGUGUGUGCCCACCCGUGGGGUCAGGGGAUCUAUGCCCCUGCCCACCCCCAUGCCAGGAGUCCCCUCUGCUCCCACCCACAGCAGCCAUUCCCAGUGGGAUGGAGGUGCCCCUUCCCCACAGAGCUUGUGCCCCAUGCCCGGUACCCCCUCCCCACAGAGCCCAUGGUCAUGUCUGGUGCCUGGUGUCCCCUCCCCACAGAGCUCAUCCCUGGUGCCCCUGGUGGGUCUGGGGGCUGCAGGGGUGCCCCCAGGGCAGGGGGUGGCCGAGGCGCGGGGGUCACUCACCGUUGGCAAACACCCGGUGCCAAACUGCCAGGGCAAGACAGGUCGGGGGGAAAGGAAAGGGCACAGCGAGGUUGGCACCCCAAAAAGGGACCCUGCUCCUGCCUGCCCAGGAUCCCCUCCAGGACCCCCCCCACCCCCUUCCUCCUGCCAACCCCACUUUGACCCUUCAGACCCCUUGGACCCCCUUGGAUCCCCCAGACCCCUGUGCCCCCCUCAGACUCCCAGAGCCAUGUGACCUCCCAAUCCCCUGUGACACCCCCCAGUCCCCUAUG
rnacentral:lncRNA from 1 species